rnacentral:lncRNA from 1 species
GGAAUAAGGGCAGGACUCCUGGCAUGGCAGCUCCCAUUUCUUUCUCUUGGUCUCUAUUCCACUAAACACUUUUGCCUGUUUAUAAUCAUAUGAUAGAGUAGCAAGAACAUGGAUCCAAGGACCAAGUGGAAAAGAGAUUUGGGUUCAAGUCCCACUAGCAUUAUUUUACUAGCUACAUUACCUUAGGUAGGUCUCAAACUCUCAACCUCAGUUCCCUCAUCUGAAAAUUGGGGAUGAUAGUUAUUCCCCCUCUCCUCCCCCAGGGCUAUUGUGAGGAUAAAACAAGAGUAUAGGCAUGAAAAAGCUUUCUGAAUUCUAAAGUUUUACACAAAGAUGAGGAUUUUAUUUUGUUUAGCCUUCCUUUUUAACAUAGUAAUUAUUAAUUUAAUAUAUGUCCUGAAUAUUCUGCUGCCUUCCACCAUAAACAGGAGAUGGAGAGGGUAAGGUGGAUUGAGGCAGCAAGGAAGGUUGCUAGUGAACUCACUUGGCAGAGCAGAAUCCUUGAGAAAAGAAGAUAAGGAUGAAGAUUAGCAGGCUGGGUGACUGACAAGUACAGCUGGAUAAUAACUUGGUGCUUAAUGAGGUCGAGGUUUUAAAUUUGAUCCACAUCUGGGCACACUGCCUUGGCUCUAUCCCUGAUUUAGAACUGAUAGUUCAACCAUAUGAUGAAAGAGAGGAGGGGAGGGAGAGAGGGAGAGUCAGGGAGAGGGAGAGAGGUGGAGAAGAAAGAAGAAGAGGAAGAGUUAGAGGAAGAGGAGGAGGAGUGGAGAGAAGAGGAGAGACAGAGAGAGAUUUCUCACUGAUUCUGAUGAGUCUCUCACACUGGUAACUUUGAUGACAGCCUAAGAGAUGUCUUUUAAUCCCAGUCAACAAACUGAGUGCUUCAUAUUUGUGAGGUGCAGAGAUACAAACCAAAGGUGAGACAGCCCCUGGCCUCAAGAAGUUGACAUUCUAAGAUCACAAACACACACUGAUAACUUUGGAAGCAUUUUGUCUGGGUUUUUCUUUCUCCUGGUUAAGAGGGCUAGCUUUCCAAGGUCAGUCAUCUGUUCAUUUGUUCAUUCGCUCAUUCAUUUGUUCAUUCCUUCCUUCUUUUCUCCCUCUCUCCCUUCCUUCCUCGCUUCCUUGCCCUACCAUUAUCCUUAUUUUACAGAUGAGGAAACGAAGGCUGAGAGAAAUUAAGUGAAUUGCUCAGGGUUUUACAACUAGCAAGUUAUAAGUGUCUGAGGCAGGAUUCAAACUCAGACCACCUGGAUUACAAGUCUGACAACCCAACUACUGCAUGCUUAUAUACUCCAUAAAGAUUAUCUGGUCACCUGGCCUCCAGUGUGAGGGAACCCACUACCUUCUACAGCUGGCUACUCCACUUUGGAAAGUUUCUCCAAUGGUGAGUUAAAAUCUGCCUCUUUUCCACUUCCACACUUGUUCUGCCCUUAGAACAAAACAAGUCCUUCAAUAGAACAGCCUUUGAGAUGCUUGAAGAGUAAUGCUAUCUCCCUACAGCCUCUUCUCUCUAGUUCCUCAUGCAGCUCAGUUUGAGCAUUCAAUCAAUGUCUAAUGGUCCUUUCUUAAAGACCUGUUCCUAGAAUCACCACUUUCCCAUUCUUCUCUGCCUGCUCUUCUUGGAACCCAAAGCCAUAAUUCGUAUCGACUUCUUGUUACCACCUCUCUAUCUGAUCCUUUACCACAAUCUCAGCUAGGUGGCUAAGUGGGUAGAAUCAGGAAGAUCUGAGUUCAAGUCUAAAUUCAGGCACUUCCUAGCUGUGUGAUCCUGAGCAAGUAAGUUACUUCACUCUGUUUGCCCCAGUUUCCUUAUCUGUAAAACGAACUGGAGAAGGAAAUGGCAAACUACUUCAAUCUCUUUGCCAAGAAAACCCCAAAUGGGGUCACAAAGAGUUGGACAAGACUGAAAUGACAGAACAACAAAAAUGACCACAAUCCCAAGCAGUCUUGCUGAUCUGCUGUACCCAGAUAUCAAUGCAUCACUGCUGAUGGUGCUCUGAAGCUCUAUCCUGAGGCUUAACUCAGACACAUUCCAUUUCUCCUUCACACACUGGGCAGCUAAGUGGGCCAGGGGGUGUAUCAAUGGACUGGGAGUUAGGAGGACCUGAAUUCAAAUUCAGGAUCAGACACCUAAUGUGUGACCCUGAGCUACUCACAGAGCAUCUCUGUAUGCCUCUGCUUCAUUUAUAAAAUGGAGGUAAUGCUUCCUCAUCUGUGAGGCAGAACAAGACAAUGGAGAGAUGAUCUCUAAGGUCCCAUUCAGCUUUUACAGUACAUGAUGCUCAGUGGCCAAUAGUCCAAAGGGAAAAGGAUUCUGGGGCCUCUGAGAUAGAGCACAAAGGUCAGGAAGCAAAUUAUUCCAUGCUUCCCAACACUGUGAGUAGGUACCUGAUGGCAUAGUGUAUAGUUUUAGACUUGAAGGCAGGAAGUUAUUGUUCAGUUGUUUUUCAUUCAUGUCUGGCUCUGUGAUCCCAUUUGGGUUUUCUGAGCAAAGAUACUGGAGUAGUUGACUGAGGUACCAUCUCACACAUAGCAGGUUGGCUAAUAUGACAGCAAAGGAAAGUAAUAAAAGUUAGAGGGGAU